rnacentral:rRNA from 1 species
CAGCCGCCGCGGUAAUACGAGGGGGGCAAGCGUUGUUCGGAAUUAUUGGGCGUAAAGGGUGCGUAGGCGGAUCGUUUAGUCAGGGGUGAAAUCCCGGGGCUCAACCUCGGAACUGCCUUUGAUACUGGCGAUCUUGAGUAUGGGAGAGGUGUGUGGAACUCCGAGUGUAGAGGUGAAAUUCGUAGAUAUUCGGAAGAACGCCAGUGGCGAAGGCGACACACUGGCCCAUUACUGACGCUGAGGCUCGAAAGCGUGGGGAGCAAACAGGAUUAGAUACCCGUGUAGUCCCUGUCUCUUAUAA